AUACGUAGGGUGCGAGCGUUGUCCGGAAUUACUGGGCGUAAAGAGCUCGUAGGUGGUUUGUCGCGUCGUCUGUGAAAUCCCGGGGCUUAACUCCGGGCGUGCAGGCGAUACGGGCAUAACUUGAGUGCUGUAGGGGAGACUGGAAUUCCUGGUGUAGCGGUGAAAUGCGCAGAUAUCAGGAGGAACACCAAUGGCGAAGGCAGGUCUCUGGGCAGUAACUGACGCUGAGGAGCGAAAGCAUGGGUAGC
rnacentral:rRNA from 1 species